CCUACGGGAGGCUGCAGUCGAGAAUCUUCGGCAAUGGGCGAAAGCCUGACCGAGCGAUGCCGCGUGCGGGAUGAAGGCCCUCGGGUUGUAAACCGCUGUCGUAGGGGAGGAAGGUUCCGUGAAGAGCGGAAUUUGACCUAUCCUAGGAGGAAGUACGGGCUAAGUUCGUGCCAGCAGCCGCGGUAACACGAACCGUACGAACGUUAUUCGGAAUUACUGGGCUUAAAGGGUUUGUAGGCGGCCUUGUAAGUCAGGUGUGAAAGCCCUCGGCUCAACCGAGGAACAGCGCUUGAUACUGCAAGGCUUGAGGGAGACAGGGGUAAGCGGAACUGAUGGUGGAGCGGUGAAAUGCGUUGAUAUCAUCAGGAACACCGGUGGCGAAAGCGGCUUACUGGGUCUCUUCUGACGCUGAGGAACGAAAGCUAGGGUAGCGAACGGGA
rnacentral:rRNA from 1 species